rnacentral:rRNA from 1 species
ACGGGGUGCAGCAGGCGCGAAAACUUUACAAUGCACACAAGUGCGAUAAGGGAACCCCGAGUGUCUCUACCUAGUAGGGACUGUCCAGCUGUCUAAAGAAUAGCUGUUAGCAAGAGCCGGGCAAGACCGGUGCCAGCCGCCGUGGUAAUACCGGCGGCUCGAGUGGUGAUCGCUAUUAUUGGGUCUAAAGCGUUCGUAGCCGGCUUGAUAAGUUCCUCGGGAAAUCUGGCGGCUUAACCGUCAGGCUGCUGAGGGAUACUGUCAGGCUUGAGACCGGGAGAGGCUAGAGGUAUCUCGGGGGUAGGGGUGAAAUCCUGUGAUCCUUGAGGGACCACCAGUGGCGAAGGCGUCUAGCUAGAACGGAUCUGACGGUGAGGGACGAAAGCUAGGGUCACGAACCGGAUUAGAUACCCGGGUAGUCCUAGCCGUAAACGAUGCGAGCUAGGUGUCGGUUUUACCACGAGUAAAAUCGGUGCCGCAGAGAAGUCGUGAAGCUCGCCACCUGGGAAGUACGGCCGCAAGGCUGAAACUAAAGGAAUGGCGGGGGAG